rnacentral:rRNA from 1 species
CCUACGGGGGGCAGCAGUGGGGAAUAUUGGACAAUGGGGGCAACCCUGAUCCAGCCAUGCCGCGUGUGUGAAGAAGGCCCUCGGGUUGUAAAGCACUUUCUGUGAGGAAGAACGCCUGGUGGUUAAUACCCAUCAGGAAAGACAUCACUCACAGAAGAAGCACCGGCUACACUCCGUGCCAGCAGCCGCGGUAAUACGGAGGGUGCGAGCGUUAAUCGGAAUUACUGGGCGUAAAGCGCGCGUAGGUGGCUUGAUAAGCCGGUUGUGAAAGCCCCGGGCUCAACCUGGGAACGGCAUCCGGAACUGUCAAGCUAGAGUGCAGGAGAGGAAGGUAGAAUUCCCGGUGUAGCGGUGAAAUGCGUAGAGAUCGGGAGGAAUACCAGUGGCGAAGGCGGCCUUCUGGACUGACACUGACACUGAGGUGCGAAAGCGUGGGUAGCAAACAGGAUUAGAUACCCGGGUAGUC